rnacentral:tRNA from 1 species
GCUCUCAUGGUGUAAUUGGAAGCAUGUCUGGCUAGCAAUUAGAAAGUCCGGAGUUCAAGUCUCGGCAUGAGCA